GACGAACGCUGGCGGCGUGCUUAACACAUGCAAGUCGAACGCUGAAGCUCAGCUUUUGUUGGGUGGAUGAGUGGCGAACGGGUGAGUAACACGUGAGUAACCUGCCUCCUUCUUCGGGAUAACGCCCGGAAACGGGUGCUAAUACUGGAUAUUCACUGGUCUUCGCAUGGGGGUUGGUGGAAAGGGUUUUUCUGGUGGGGGAUGGGCUCGCGGCCUAUCAGCUUGUUGGUGGGGUGAUGGCCUACCAAGGCUUUGACGGGUAGCCGGCCUGAGAGGGUGACCGGUCACAUUGGGACUGAGAUACGGCCCAGACUCCUACGGGAGGCAGCAGUGGGGAAUAUUGCACAAUGGGCGCAAGCCUGAUGCAGCGACGCCGCGUGAGGGAUGGAGGCCUUCGGGUUGUGAACCUCUUUCGCUCAUGGUCAAGCCGCAACAAUGGUUGUGGUGAGGGUAGUGGGUAAAGAAGCGCCGGCUAACUACGUG
rnacentral:rRNA from 1 species